GGGAUGCUGCUUAAUAGGGAAUCAGGUGAGAGUCCUGAACAGUCCCGCUGCUGUAAGUCCAAAUAGUUCUUUUUGGCAUAAUGUCACUGAAUACCGGCAAGGUGUUUGGGAAGACGCCAAAGAGGAGGACAAGUCAGAAGACCUGCCAUUUUUAAUA
rnacentral:ncRNA from 1 species